rnacentral:rRNA from 1 species
UACAGAGGUGCCAAGCGUUAGGCGGAAUCACUGGGCUUAAAGCGCGUGUAGGUGGACGGGUAAGUAUCUUGUGAAAUCCCCGGGCUCAACCUGGGAACUGCAUUCAAAACUGACAAGCUAGAGUAUGGUAGAGGGUGGUGGAAUUUCCUGUGUAGCGGUGAAAUGCGUAGAUAUAGGAAGGAACACCAGUGGCGAAGGCGACCACCUGGACUGAUACUGACACUGAGGUGCGAAAGCGUGGGGAGCGAACAGG